CCUCAAGUGGCCCCAAAGUUGGGCUCCCAUUAGGGUGGGUAGGACAGUAUCUAGAGACAUUGAAGUGAUAAUAAUAACUGAUUUGUGGCCUUAUCAACAGCCCCGGGCUGCAGUGAGAAGCAGGAGCAGCUUUCAGCCACCAGUAGUGGGAAGCUGAGGAGCUGGAACUGAGGAAGCAGAGCUGGAGCAGACAGAAACAUGGUGAUUUCCAGGAGCAAACAAAAGGCGAUAGUCAAGGUGCUAGUGAACUGGUGUUAAAAGACAAAUUCUUCAUUGUCAAUCCAGCUACCAUCCUUGUUCAGUUAAACUCUGCAACAGAUCUCCCACAAAGUUGUGUCCUGCUGUUGCUGCUUCUGAAGGAUCAUGGAAUCACAGAAUGGUUUGACUUGGAAGUGACUUUAAAGCUCAUCUCAUUCCACCCUUGCCAUGAGCAGGGUCACCUUCACUAAACCAGGUUGCUUCGCCCUGGCCUUGAACACUUCCAGGGAUGGAGCACUUCCACGAUGGCUGUUUGACUUCCUUUGCAAUGGCAAAUGCUUUUGCUGGGGUUCCUCUGCUGAAAUCACACCCUGACCAAAUGCAACACCAACAAAAAUCUGGACUUGUGCCAGACUGCCAUCAUCAGAGCUCAGCCAGCAAACAGUGCUCAGCAAAAGGGAAGGAGUUUUCCACAUCCCAUAUGCAACAUUUCCCUGAUCUGUCCCUUUCCAAAUUGCAAGCUGCACAACUGUGAGCUGGCAUCAAGACUCUGAGGUAAGCACAAACUGCCUGAACCGAGCCCUCCCUGUGGGGCCGCAACCCCAGAGCCCCUGGACAUGGAGCAUAGCUGCAACACCAUGGCUGUGGAUUUCCCUGAAAGGAUGAAGCAGCACGGUGGAAGUCCCGGGGCACUGUCUGAGGAAUUGCCCUCCCUGUGCCGUGCUCUCACCUGGGGACAGCAAGAAUUGUACAGCCCUGUCCCAGAGCUCUAUGCCCAGCCUGCCUGAGCAGUGAGCAAAAUGGGAUCAGUUUAAUUAUAAUUUGAUAUUCCAGCCUUAAACUUUCUGUAAACCAGUGGCUGCUGGACAGGUGAGCUGGACUCCUGUGCCUAAUGUAGAUUGAUAGCAGAUCAGCUUUUCUGUCUCAAUUUGCUUAUGACCUAGAGAAUUAGCAGAGAGGAUCUGUUAUCCUGCCAGUGCACUAAUGGCUUUGGCAAGAGAAGAGCUCCCGA
rnacentral:lncRNA from 1 species